rnacentral:rRNA from 1 species
UUCUAAGACAACUAGGAUGUUGGCUUAGAAGCAGCCACUCAUUUAAAGAGUGCGUAAUAGCUCACUAGUCAAGAGAUCCUGCGCCGAAGAUGUCCGGGGCUCAAACUUACCACCGAAGCUAUGGGUGUACACUAUGUGUACGCGGUAGAGGAGCUUUCUGUAUGGGUUGAAGUCGUACCGUAAGGAGCGGUGGACUGUACAGAAGUGAGAAUGCUGGCAUAAGUAGCGAGAAAUAAGUGAGAAUCUUAUUGGCCGAAAACCUAAGGUUUCCUGAGGAAGGUUCGUCCGCUCAGGGUUAGUCGGGACCUAAGCCGAGGCCGAAAGGCGUAGGUGAUGGACAAUCGGUUGAUAUUCCGAUACCACCUAUUUACGUUUGAGAAAUGGGGUGACGCAGUAGGAUAAGAUGUGCGCACUAUUGGAUGUGCGUCUAAGCACUUAGGCAUGCUUGAUAGGCAAAUCCGUCGAGCUAAGCUGAGGUGUGAUGGGGAGCCAUUUAUGGCGAAGUAUCUGAUUCCACACUGCCAAGAAAAGCCUCUAUCGAGUGAAUAGGUGCCCGUACCGCAAACCGACACAGGUAGGUGAGGAGAGAAUCCUAAGGCCAUCGGAAGAAUUGCUGUUAAGGAACUCGGCAAAUUGACCCCGUAACUUCGGGAGAAGGGGUGCCUACGAAAGUAGGCCGCAGAGAAUAGGCCCAAGCAACUGUUUAGCAAAAACACAGGUCUCUGCUAAAGCGAAAGCUGAUGUAUAGGGGCUGACGCCUGCCCGGUGCUGGAAGGUUAAGGGGAACACUUAGCGUAAGCGAAGGUGUGAACUUAAGCCCCAGUAAACGGCGGCCGUAACUAUAACGGUCCUAAGGUAGCGAAAUUCCUUGUCGGGUAAGUUCCGACCCGCACGAAUGGCGUAAUGAUUUGGGCACUGUCUCAACAGCAAAUCCGGCGAAAUUGUAGUGCAAGUGAAGAUGCUUGCUACCCGCGAUUGGACGGAAAGACCCCGUAGAGCUUUACUGUAGCUUAGCAUUGAAUCUCGGUAUUGUCUGUACAGGAUAGGUGGGAGACUUGGAAACUUGGGCGUCAGCUGAGUGGAGUCAUCCUUGGGAUACCACCCUGACAGUACUGGGGUUCUAACCGGCGGCAUGAAUCUGGUCACGGGACAUUGUUAGGUGGGCAGUUUGACUGGGGCGGUCGCCUCCUAAAAAGUAACGGAGGCGCCCAAAAGUUCCCUCAGCGCGGUCGGAAAUCGCGCGAAGAGUGCAAAGGCAGAAGGGAGCUUGACUGCGACACAUACAGGUGG